rnacentral:misc_RNA from 1 species
CAAGAUUAAUGAUAUGCAUCUUGAAGAGUGAUUGCUGGACAUUAUAAGACCCUGAAGAAAAUUUAAAGUGAGAGCUGUCCAAACUUCUGCAAUGAGCUCAAUCCUUUCAAGAAGCAAAAUAAUANAUAAUAUAUCAAAUCAGAUCAAAGAAGAGAUGAAGCAACAUGUAAUCUUUGCUUGUAUUACAAUGGGAAAUGCCCAGUAAGCCGGAUAUGAUUCAAAGUGCGACUUAAACCAUACUUAUUGACAGCAGCAUUAGCAGCCCUGAAUCCUCCCCCAUAAGCUGGUGAAGCAUNNNNUUGAUGCAUGAAAAACUCCCCCAAUUUAUUUUCAACAUUGGACUUCCCUCCCUUUUUUGAAGAAGAUGAUGAAGAGGAAGCUGCUGACGUAGAUGGCAUGCCUUUAGAUGGUAAUACUUCUGAUUCAAGCCACAUAUGUGAGAGUAAUUGACAGAUUCCUUCCUCUACCUCAGGAUUAAGAUUACGGUAACCUUUAAGGCGUAACCAGCCAUGCAUCAACUCAUGGGCAAGAAUAGCUCCUGUUAGUAGUCUUGGAAGACCAUAAAGUACAAGAAUAGCUGUAACCUCACAACUUUUCCGAGUCAGCUUUUGUGGUUGAGUUCUAAUUCCAAUUAGUCGGGUACCACCAAUUCUUGGUCUCCUCUGUAUGCUGGUAACAGUCUGCUCUUCUGAAAGGCAUAGACCCCUUGUCUCAGGCAUGUGAUGAUAUCCAUUUUUCUCCCCAACAAUAGCAUCAUUAAGUGCUUGUCUUUCAACAAGAAGCAUGGGAAUUUGCUGAUCCAGUUUCAUAUUCAACCCUUCAUAGUAGUCCCUAAUAGCAUGGUAGAGGGGUUGGCAAUCACCAGUGUCCAUAAUAGCAGAUUCCAUGCAUUCUAAGCAUAAGCUACGUCCAUCUUCCAAAGUAUAGUAUCUUGUAUCCCUAGACUCCAAGCGUUC